UUUUUUAAUUUCAAAUUUUUAAAAUACUAAAUCGAUUUCAACAAUCUCUAUUUAUAAAAGAGGAAUAGAGGCAUGCUGAUGUGGCAUGCCUCAAUGCUCUCGGAACAUAUUUAUCUUUUUUUUGAUUUUUUUUUUGAGUUUUUCUUUCCAAUUUUAAUUAAUUGCCAUCUAUUUUUCUAAUAAUUAAUAAACCCAUUAAUUAACCAUUAACCCACAAACACCCUCCGUCUUCUUCCUUUCCCCCUCCUUAUGGCUUUUCUUGAUUACACAUUUUUGGCGUUGACAUUUUCUUAAACUUUGGUGGAGAAAUUAAUCUCAACGUCUUUUCCAACUUUGUUUGUCACUGACCUGAGAAGAAGAUGGUUCUCCCAAUUAACUUUUCCAACUUUGUUUAUCACUGACUCUGAGAAGAAGAUGUUCUCCCAAUUAACGAGUCCUGUUCGACACUCUAUAUGGAUAAAGUAGUUGUGGUUUUGUGAGGUGAAGUUAGCCCUGUGGAAGCCUUAUUGUUUGCCUGUUUGCGGAUUAGCCGACUAUUGUAAGUGUUAUUUUUUCAGUACCGAAGCUCCUCACUUACAAAGUUUUUUGGUAUAAUUGUGUUAAACUGAUUGUCGAGGAAAAAGUUAUCAUGGUUGUGUGAGGUGAAGUUAGCCGUGUGGAAGCGUCAUUUUUUGCGGAUUAGCCUACUAUUGUAAGUGUUUGGUUAUCGUUUUCAGUACCAAAGCUCCUCGGUUAAAAAGUUUUUUGGUGUACAUUGUGUUAAAACUGGUUGAAUGUCAAAGCUAUGUUUGAAAUCCCUUUAGUGCUAUAGCAUAUCUGUUUUCGAAGAAGAUCAUCUAUAGUUUCUUGUGUAGUAAUUUCUCUAGGAAUUCUUACAUUCUCUUAUUCAAUGUAUAAACCAGACACAAGAGGCCGAUGAAACUAUCACGUUUAAAGCCCUCAAUCUCAACUUUGCCUUUCAAUUGCGUCGUUCUUGGUAUAAAGAGCUUAUAAGGUGAUAAAACCUUUGUUCAUUUCUUUUUAUUGGUGUCUUUAUAUUCAUAGAAUGACCUACUUUAUUCUCACGGUUCUCAUUACAAAUUAAUAUGCAUUGUCAGUUUCUGGAAGUUGAGAAUAUCAUGGUGUACAGUUUUUUGAUUUGUCUACAUAUCUACAAUUAGUGCAUUCUUGGUAACAAUUCUGAAAAUCUUUGUACAUCCAUGUUACAUUGUGUUAAACUGGUUGUCAGCUCUCUAAGAAUGAGAACAAUUUGUGUGAGACUAUACCAAUGGUAAAGACAUCUUACAAAACUAUAAGACCGAAUCCUUGAGAUGCUAUGUUGUUCGAACUCUACAAAAUUAUUGACAGAUGCGUGUAGGAUCCUCCCAAAAGUAGUGCAUUGCUGGAGGAUCCAACAUGAGUGCGGCAAUAUUUUGGGAGAGUCCGAGCAACAUAGAUGAGGUGUAUAAACCAAAUAGACCCCUUCCACAUUGCAAGAAAAUUAGACUACAAAUCCUAUGCUGCUUCAACAACAAAAAAAUGAAGGUGCUCAUUUUGGGAGUUGUUUCCCAUAUCAAAACAAUUUCUAGAUUCCAAUUUGCUGGCUAAUAACAUAAACCCCACAAACCGAAUAUAUGAAUUCUAAAAAUAAAAUCGAAAAUGUGAAAUCAGAGCAAGUGAUGUUCACUACAUACAGUUCCAGAUCCCCCUUUAACAAUAGGAGUGGAAUCACUAAAACCUUCGGUAGCUAACUUUAGCUCUUUGUAACUAAACCUAUGACGCUUAACAAGUGGUGCAUUAUAAUCAAAAGGAUUAGUAGGUGAAAGAUGCACCAAAGAGUCCCCAA